CAGGCCUAACCCAUGCAAGUUGGGCGGGGCAUGGCAACAUGUCAGUGGCGGACGGGUGAGUAACGCGUAGGAAUCUGUUCUUGGGUGGGGGAUACCAGUGGGAAACUACUGCUAAUCCCGUAUGAUACCUGAGGGUUAAAGGCGAAAGCCGCCUGGGGAGGAGCCUGCGUUCGAUUAGCUAGUUGGUGGGGUAAAGGCCUACCAAGGCUACGAUCGAUAGCUGGUCUGAGAGGAUGAUCAGCCACACUGGGACUGAGACACGGCCCAGACUCCUACGGGAGGCAGCAGUGGGGAAUAUUGGACAAUGGGUGCAAGCCUGAUCCAGCAAUGCCGCGUGGGUGAAGAAGGUUUUCGGAUUGUAAAGCCCUUUUGGCGGGGACGAUGAUGACGGUACCUGCAGAAUAAGCCCCGGCUAACUUCGUGCCAGCAGCCGCGGUAAUACGAAGGGGGCUAGCGUUGCUCGGAAUGACUGGGCGUAAAGGGCGCGUAGGCGGCGAUCAAAGUCAGGCGUGAAAUUCCUGGGCUCAACCUGGGGGCUGCGCUUGAUACUUGGUUGCUUGAGUGGGGAAGAGGGUCGUGGAAUUCCCAGUGUAGAGGUGAAAUUCGUAGAUAUUGGGAAGAACACCGGUGGCGAAGGCGGCGACCUGGUCCUUGACUGACGCUGAGGCGCGAAAGCGUGGGGAGCAAACAGGAUUAGAUACCCUGGUAGUCCACGCCGUAAACGAUGUCGAUUUGGAGGUUGUGCCCUUGAGGCGUGGCUUCCGGAGCUAACGCGUUAAAUCGACCGCCUGGGGAGUACGGCCGCAAGGUUAAAACUCAAAUGAAUUGACGGGGGCCCGCACAAGCGGUGGAGCAUGUGGUUUAAUUCGAUGCAACGCGAAGAACCUUACCUACUCUUGACAUCCACGGAACUUGCCAGAGAUGGCUUAGUGCCUUCGGGAACCGUGAGACAGGUGCUGCAUGGCUGUCGUCAGCUCGUGUUGUGAAAUGUUGGGUUAAGUCCCGCAACGAGCGCAACCCUUAUCCUUUGUUGCCAGCACGUAAUGGUGGGAACUCAAAGGAGACUGCCGGUGAUAAACCGGAGGAAGGUGGGGAUGACGUCAAGUCAUCAUGGCCCUUACGAGUAGGGCUACACACGUGCUACAAUGGCGUAUACAAAGAGAAGCGACCUCGCGAGAGUCAGCGGACCUCAUAAAGUACGUCGUAGUCCGGAUUGGAGUCUGCAACUCGACUCCAUGAAGUCGGAAUCGCUAGUAAUCGUAGAUCAGAAUGCUACGGUGAAUACGUUCCCGGGCCUUGUACACACCGCCC
rnacentral:rRNA from 1 species